rnacentral:rRNA from 1 species
UCGUAACAAGGUCUCCGUUGGUGAACCAGCGGAGGGAUCAUUAUCGAGUUAUUCAACUCCCAAACCCUAUGUGAACUUACCACUUGUUGCUUCGGCGCGCGCUUCGGCGCCGCCGAGGACACUUAAACUCUUUGUUUUUAUAAGCAUUUCUGAGUGGCCGAAAGGCAAAAAUACAAAUGAAUCAAAACUUUCAACAACGGAUCUCUUGGUUCUGGCAUCGAUGAAGAACGCAGCGAAAUGCGAUAAGUAAUGUGAAUUGCAGAAUUCAGUGAAUCAUCGAAUCUUUGAACGCACAUUGCGCCCGCCAGCAUUCUGGCGGGCAUGCCUGUUCGAGCGUCAUUUCAACCCUCGAGCCCGACUCUUUUGAGGACGGCUCGGCGUUGGGGGACGGCAGACUCCCCCCGGCAUCUCGCCGGGGACGCCGCCCCCGAAAUCUAGUGGCGGCCCUCCGAGGCGACCUCUGCGUAGUAACUUGUUCUCGCACCGGAAAGCUCAGAGCGGCCACGCCGUAAAACCCCAACUUUUUUCAGGUUGACCUCGAAUCAGGUAGGACUACCCGCUGAACUUAAGCAUAUCAAUA